AUACUUACCUGGAUGGGGUCUAUGGCUGAUCAAGAAGAGUCAUGGCCUAGGCUAUUGUCCUUCAUUGCACUUUGGGAGGAGCAUUAGUCUACCAUCUUCUCAAGUAGGAGAGUGGAAAUCAUAAUUUGUGGUAGAGAGGAUAUGCGUUCGCGCGGUCCCUAC
rfam:Zea mays cultivar B73 chromosome 10, whole genome shotgun sequence.